AUUGAACGCUGGCGGAAUGCUUUACACAUGCAAGUCGAACGGCAGCACGGGUGCUUGCACCUGGUGGCGAGUGGCGAACGGGUGAGUAAUGCACCGGAACGUAUCCAAUAAUGGGGGAUAACGCACCGAAAGGUGUGCUAAUACCGCAUACGCCCUGAGGGGGAAAGCGGGGGAUCGUAAGACCUCGCGUUAAUGGAGCGGCCGAUGCCGGAUUAGCUAGUUGGUGAGGUAAAGGCUCACCAAGGCGACGAUCCGUAGCUGGUCUGAGAGGACGACCAGCCACA
rnacentral:rRNA from 1 species